GGAGAUUUUGUGAGUGGUCAGGCUGAGAAUAGUGACACUGGAGAUGCGCAUUCAUGUGAAUUCUCCAUGUUUUUCUUUCUCUCAUUGAAUGAAUACAACGUCGCCCGGUUGGAAUAUUAUCGCUAUUUUACGAGAAAAAUCACAUAAAAAUUGAUUUUAAACAGCGUUUGACAUGCUUCGAAGUACGGUAAUGGAAUAUUUUGAUUUUUUUUGUCACGAAAUGCGCUCGCGCGUCACCCUUCGGAUACUGACCUGAACGCAUGAACAAAACGGAGCUAUUUCAAUAUAACUAUGGAUUAUUUGGAACCAAAACAACAUUUGUUGUUGAAGUAGAAGUCCUGGGAGUGCAUUCUGACGAAGAACAGCAAAGUGUGUAUAUCCUCAGGUGGAAGCAGAGAUAUAACCAAGGGCACGGGCUGAAUACUGGAGAUGGAGUGUACAUCAAGAGACACCAGGCGGGGGUGUUGGGACAGCGUUGGUACGGGCCACACACACUAAUCCGUACAGUACCUGCAGCGGUAAAGAUCGCCAUGUCUCUCCUUGGGGGGUGCAUAGUUCUCACGUGAAGUGAGGUACAGACGCAUAAUGGGAACCAGAAGGAGAGAGUGGAGAAACAAAAAAGCGUUCCAGCUGACAUGGAACAAGACAGCAGAUUCAGCUGGAAUGGCGUUUUAUUGUGUGAUGAGAGAUGGAAAUAAAAUUGCACAUGAUGUGAUUAUAGAAUAGAAGCCAUAAGUCUCUGAGUUUGUAAACCUCACGGUGAACGUUUCUUAUCAUUGUUUGUUCCAUUUGUUCGUUUUUUAAAUUCGUGUUUUAUUAUCGUUUGUCCAUUUAUUAGUAAUUUCCAAGUUUAUAUAAAUUGAACAUUAGGAUGCUAUUGUUCAAGAGAAGGGACUGUUGGAUUCAAAAUGUUGAACACUGAGAUAUUAAAGACAUGAUAGAUCAGACGCAUAGUAUAUAAAGGAGUGAGAUCUGUGGAAAGACAGAGUGGCUGUGGAAUGUGCUGGGUGGACGGGAGGAGAUCAAAGGAUUGCUAUAGGGGAAGAAGAUGAACAUCUGUGGAUUAGACGAAGGAGGAGUUGAGGUCAGGAGGUCAGGUCAGAUCCCCUGAAGGGAGUGAUAAGGGUUUACUACCCUCUUCCUGUUUAACAAUAAGAUGUAAGGAUUGGAGAGAAGGAGGAGUGUCUUAAGUGGGAGUUAAAUACCUGUGAUGGUGAGAAAUGUCUGGUGAUCUGAAUUACAGCUGUAACGACCCUUUGGGG
rnacentral:lncRNA from 1 species